rnacentral:rRNA from 1 species
GACGAACGCUGGCGGCGUGCUUAACACAUGCAAGUCGAACGGAAAGGCCCUGCUUUUGUGGGGUGCUCGAGUGGCGAACGGGUGAGUAACACGUGAGUAACCUGCCCUUGACUUUGGGAUAACUUCAGGAAACUGGGGCUAAUACCGGAUAUGAGCUCCUGCUGCAUGGUGGGGGUUGGAAAGUUUCGGCGGUUGGGGAUGGACUCGCAGCUUAUCAGCUUGUUGGUGGGGUAGUGGCUUACCAAGGCUUUGACGGGUAGCCGGCCUGAGAGGGUGACCGGCCACAAUGGGACUGAGAUACGGCCCAGACUCCUACGGGAGGCAGCAGGGGGGAAUAUUGCACAAUGGGCGGAAGCCUGAGGCAGCAACGCCGCGUGCGGGAUGACGGCCUUUGGGUUGUAAACCGCUUUCGCCUGUGACGAAGCGUGAGUGACGGUAAUGGGUAAAGAAGCACCGGCUAACUACGUG